AAUGACCAUCGAGCUCGACCAUCGGUCGAUAUUGGAGAGGAAUAAUCGAUCGAUGUUCAUAUCUUGACAUCGAUCGACAGCGAAGCGCGGAGAAAGCCCGUUUGGUCACAGCCGACUUGAAGCCCAAGUCUUCACCAAUUUACAAGAUUGCCCCUGACAAGUUUUAACCUAAUCACUACGGGAAAUGUGGGUAUUAGUAGCAUUAGAUCAUAGCGUUUAUGACAUUUUUGCUAUUAUAUAACAAUACUUGCUUUUUUUAUAGCGUUUUUCAAUUCUAAACGCUAUAUUUUUUUAUUGCGGGAAAAAUAAUUUUUUUAGCCGCCUUAGCGAAAAUUUGGCUUUCACAAAAUAUUUCGAUAUGAUAAAAAUUACUUUUUUUUUUCUUAAGUCAUUUUCUUGGUGCUGGUUAUGAACGAGCCUCGAACGACGGCGUACAGACUGGUGAUGAUAACGACGCACGCCUCCAUCCUCUUUCACUGAGUUUGCGACCAUCAACUCAGAUCUCGCCGGUGACGUCCCAGCCGCCGCUUCGUCUAGCAGUGGCACCACCAUCAGCCGCUGCUCUCUCUACCACCGUCUGAACCUCCAGAGCCACCAAUCGGAACCAUAGGAGAUAUUGAGGAAGUUCUCGGAGAAGAACACUCGGCGUUCAGGGACUUACUUAUGUGUUGACAAAGGAGUUACUUAUGUUGUCAUUAAGGUUUGUAAAAUAACCUUAAAAGUUUCCAACUUUCUGGUGAGUUUCUCUUGGAUGCUUGAUGGCUGAUGAUAUGAUUUGUGGGUGUUUUGUAUGUUUGAUUUAGAAAUGGAAGUGGAUGAUAUAACUAUGCACACAGGCUGCAAAGGUGGACUUGAGACAAGUAGGUUUCUGAGAAGCAGAGUUGGAAAUGGUUGUGGACUGGUAAUGGGUCCACACAAUAACAAGAAGAAAGAAGGAUCCAGAAUUCAUCAAAAACAUCUCUUGUUUGUCUUUAAGUUUCAUAUGACACAGAAUUCUCCGAGAACAGCUUGCUAGUUGCUAAGUCUUCCGGCAAUGAUCAUGGUUUGUUCUCUCAUCUUCCAUAUCUCAGUUCAAUAAUUUAAUCAUUUUCGAAGUCUUACAAACACCAGAAUCUCUGUUUUUGGCUAAAGUUUAUCUUUUUGCCCUGUUCUUGGCUAAAGUUUGGCUUUUUCCUUGUUUUUGUUUCACCUAUAUUCUCUACGUUACGAUUUUAAGUCUUUGCUUGGCAACAUUUUAUGUAUUUACUCUGUUUCUUGUCUGUUUUGGUCAUGAAGAACACCUGACCAAAGUUUUUUCUUUGCUUUAUUCUUGUCGUGUUCUGGCUUGUAGUGGCGGCUUCAACUACGGAUAAAGCUGUAGCUAAACUGCCAAAUGCACCAGUUUUCUCAUGUUAAGUCUGGUUUAGAUAAAAGUAUGGUGCUUUGAUUGUUACGACAGCAGAGAGGGAGCUUGGAACCAUGAGCUUGAUUCAUUGACACAGGUUGAUCUCAACAACUGCGAAGUUUCUUUGCUUUCAUUUUAGUGGUUUGCCUUUUCCUUAUGUGAGAAAGUGGGGUUAUGGUUAUGCUUAAGCAAAUCCAUAUUUGGCUUAGGUAUGUAUUGAAGCGAGAUGUGGGACUUGUUUUGGUUAACGUAAUAGUAUUUUUUUAUGUAUUUUUAGAUAAUUUAUGCAUAAAAAAGUUAAAUGUAUAUUUUGGAUAAUUUAUAGACAACUAUAUCUUUGCUGAAUCUUUCUUCCCUUUAAGGCCGGGUUGGCUCGAAAAGAGGCUGAAGAGAAGAGCUUGAUGCUUUUAAUUCAUGUUUUCAUGUAUUGACUUUGUGUGUUUUAAAUUUUUAAUGGAAAACUAUAUGAUUGUUCAAUAAGUGGAAUCAGGCUAUAUUUAAAAAUUUGAUUGUAAAUAACAUUCUUUUAUGAUUUUUCAAUGAAUUUGAAAUUUCAUAAUAAAAUAAAAAUAAUGUUUAGGAAUUAAAUUAGCAUUUGUGGUUUGAGGUUUAGAUUAAAUAUUUGAAACUAAUUUUAUAAAAUAUUAAAUUUUGAAUUUAAACUUAAGAUUUGAGAUUAAAAUAAUAAAAUAUCUAAGUUUUAAGAGUUGUGUUUAAAGUUUAGGGUUUCAACCCUAACCCCUAAACCUAACUUUAAAACUUCGAUGUUUUCAUGAUAUAACUUUAAUCUUAAAUUUGAAUUCAAAAAUUAAUCAUUUUAAAAAUACAAUCUAAACUUUAAAUUAUAAACCUAAAACACUAAAUCGUAAAUUUACACCAUAAACAUUGCAUUUAAAACUCAAAUCUUUUAUUAUUUGACUUUAAAUUUUUAAAUUUAAUCAUAAAGUCCACUAUUAAAUCAUAAAAUCUAAAGAUAACACAAAAGUAAUAUGAUAAAAAGAAAAUCCAACACUAAUAAUAAAUUAUAAAAAUAAAAUAAAAAACCUAUAUACUUUAAGUUCUAAACCUAAACAUGCCUUAAACCCUAACUACAUAUCUCAAACCCUAUAUCUUAAAUUCCAUUUUAUACAUAAAUCUUCAACUUUAAUCAUUUUAAUUCAAACAUUUGGAUUAUGUAUCAUACAAAUAUAUUUAAGUUUAAAGAUUAUAAUACAAACCCUACAUAUACAUACCCCUAGCCCUACUUAUAACUCCAAACCAUAUAUCAUAUUCUAAACUCUAUACAAAAAGUAUUAAAUCAUAACACUUUAAAAUUAUAACACUUAUUUUAUACUAAAUUAUGAAAUUAUACAAAGUAUAAAAUCUAAAUAAAAUCAGUAUAUUCAUAAUAUAACUUCAAUCCCUAAACUCCAAAGCACAUAUUCAUAAGAAGAUAAUUUGUACUGUUUUUUACGAGCUAUUGAUUGAUUUUUAAAUCAAAUGUCCAAAAUCAAUCUCCUAUCUAUCUUUCCCCCUUGUUUUCUAUUGGUUUGGCGCGGAUCACCCUCUGCACCGUUAGAUCAUAACGAACCAACGCUUGAGAUUGUUUUUUUUUUUCAAUUAUUUUCUGAGAACAGAUCGCGUGGGUGAUGUGCUCGACGCCCUAGCAAACCUCGGCCUCCUUCACUUCUUCUUCCUCGUCGGCCUCCUUCUCUUCUUCUCUUCUUCUUUCUUUAAACUCUCUGAUUUUUAAUUUAUCUCUUCAUAUUCAUGCUAAGAACUGAUAGAUCUGUGUUGUGGUUGUCGAAAUCUGAUAGAUUAAGGUUCUCUGAUUUUGUUUUUGUGUUUAAUCUGUUCUCACAAGUCUGAUCGAAACUUCUCUUCUUCUCGAAAUUUCUCUUUGAUUUAUACUUGUCUUUGGUUGAAUUCGAAAUUGAUCUGAGAAGGGUGGGUUUGAUUUUCGUUUUGAUCUGUUUCUGUUAAAGUGUAAGAUUGAGCGCUUCUUUUCUAUUGUUUCUGUUUCUAAUUAUCAACUUGUUUCUGAUUAUCAAUCUGAUUUAUUAAGAUUUGAAUUUCGUUUUGAAUCUGUCUCUGUUGGUGUUUUCUGUUCUCUCUGAGAUUAUGUAAGAAUCAACGUCCAUCUCUGUUUCUUUUGUUCUUUACUCUUAAACUGCAGAAACUUAUAUUAUGUGUUUGUGUGUUAAUUAAUAGGGAAUGCUCAAAGGUUCGUGCUGUGUACAAGAAGUACUCAAAGAUCGAGAACGGAGGCGUUGCUUUGGUUUCACCAGCCAAGUCGCUAUUGGGUUCUGCUGCUGCUGAUUCGAAGAAGCCUUGAGUGAUGGCGGAAGAAGGCGAUGGACAGGGCUAGAGAAGAAAGAGACAGGAAGAAGCAGACAACGUAGAGUUUAGGUUUUUGGUUUAUUAGGUUUGGUUCAAUGUUUUUGGUUAUCAAGUUUUGGUUAAUUAGGUGUUGGUUUAAUUUUUUUUGGUUAAUGUAUAAACUGAUUUUAUUUGUAAACAAAAUUUUAAUAAUAAAUAAAAUUUAAUUUUUAAA